rnacentral:rRNA from 1 species
UACGAGGGGGGCGAGCGUUGUUCGGAAUUAUUGGGCGUAAAGGGUGCGUAGGCGGUUUGGUAAGUCUUGUGUGAAAUCUUCGGGCUCAACUCGAAGUCUGCACGAGAAACUGCCGGGCUUGAGUAUGGGAGAGGGUGAGUGGAAUUCCCGGGUGUAGCGGUGAAAUGCGUAGAUAUCGGGAGGAACACCUGUGGCGAAAGCGGCUCACUGGACCAUAACUGACGCUGAGGCACGAAAGCUAGGGGAGCAAACAGG